rnacentral:tRNA from 1 species
AAAAGGGUAAGCUAAUUAAAGCUAUUAGGUUCAUACCCUAAAUAUAGAAUUUCUCUUCUUCCUUUUA